AGUGAACGCUGGCGGUAGGCCUAACACAUGCCAGUCGAACGGCAGCACAGUAAGAGCUUGCUCUUACGGGUGGCGAGUGGCGGACGGGUCAGGAAUACAUCGGAAUCUACUUUUUCGUGGGGGAUAACGUAGGGAAACUUACGCUAAUACAGCAUACGACCUACGGGUGAAAGCAGGGGAUCUUCGGACCUUGCGCGAUUGAAUGAGCCGAUGUCGGAUUAGCUAGUUGGCGGGGUAAAGGCCCACCAAGGCGACGAUACGUAGCUGGUCUGAGAGGAUGAUCAGCCACACUGGAACUGAGACACGGUCCAGACUCCUACGGGAGGCAGCAGUGGGGAAUAUUGGACAAUGGGCGCAAGCCUGAUCCAGCCAUACCGCGUGGGUGAAGAAGGCCUUCGGGUUGUAAAGCCCUUUUGUUGGGAAAGAAAAGCAGCAGGUUAAUACCCCGCUGUUCUGACGGUACCCAAAGAAUAAGCACCGGCUAACUUCGUG
rnacentral:rRNA from 1 species